rnacentral:rRNA from 1 species
GACAGAGGGUGCAAACGUUGUUCGGAAUUACUGGGCGUAAAGCGAGUGUAGGCGAUCUUGAAAGUCGGAUGUGAAAGCCCUGGGCUCAACCCAGGAAGUGCAUUCGAUACUCCAAGGCUAGAGUACUGGAGAGGUGGGUGGAAUUCUCGGUGUAGAGGUGAAAUUCGUAGAUAUCGAGAGGAACACCGGUGGCGAAGGCGGCGAUCUGGGUCGAUACUGACGCUGAGGUGCGAAAGCGUGGGGAGCAAACAGG